CCCGAGGCUACUGUGUCUGGCUCCUCGUCACCGGCUGACUCGUCAACGUCACCGUCCUCCAGCCCAUUGCAGGCUGCUCCGUCGACCUCGGUGGUUCCUGUGUCCCGACCACAUACACGCAGUCGCAGUGGCAUUUUCAAACCUAAGGAACGUAAGGAUGGUACGGUUGCUUGGUUGGCUGCUUGUUUGGCUGCUGCUGUUGCGGAUCCAUCUUCUGAGCCUCGCUCAUAUCAGGCUGCCCUACGCAUUCCACAUUGGCGAGAGGCUAUGGAGCAGGAGUUUCAUGCUCUCCUUCGUAACAAGACAUGGACUCUCGUUCCUCCACCACCACGGGUAAAUGUUAUUGACUCAAAAUGGGUAUUCAAAGUGAAGAAGCAUUCGGAUGGAUCUAUUGAGCGUUACAAAGCGCGACUUGUUGCUCGCGGUUUUCGGCAGCGCCAUGGUCUUGACUAUGAGGACACCUUCAGUCCUGUCGUCAAGCCUACCACUAUUCGGCUUCUUCUCUCCAUUGCUGUUUCUCGUGGUUGGUCACUUCGUCAACUUGAUGUGCAGAAUGCCUUUCUACAUGGAUUUUUG
rnacentral:rRNA from 1 species